CUGUCCGAGGGGCGCUGCAGCAAAUCCGCAUCGGGCGGUUUUGUCAGGCUCGGAUGGGGCGUUAUCCAAACGCAUCAACGGCGCCCAUCGGAC
rnacentral:ncRNA from 1 species